rnacentral:tRNA from 1 species
GCCUGGGUGGCUCAGUCAGUUGGGCAUCUGACUUCAGCUCAGGUCACCAUCUUGUGGUUUGUGAGUUCGAGCCCCAUUUUGGGCU